AUUGAACGCUGGCGGCAGGCUUAACACAUGCAAGUCGAGCGGGGUGAUGGUGCUUGCACUAUCACUUAGCGGCGGACGGGUGAGUAAUGCUUAGGAAUCUGCCUAUUAGUGGGGGACAACAACUCGAAAGGGAUGCUAAUACCGCAUACGUCCUACGGGAGAAAGCAGGGGAUCACUUGUGACCUUGCGCUAAUAGAUGAGCCUAAGUCGGAUUAGCUAGUUGGUGGGGUAAAGGCCUACCAAGGCGACGAUCUGUAGCGGGUCUGAGAGGAUGAUCCGCCACACUGGGACUGAGACACGGCCCAGACUCCUACGGGAUGCAGCAGUGGGGAAUAUUGGACAAUGGGGGGAACCGUGAUCCAGCCAUGCCGCGUGGGUGAAGAAGGCCUUAUGGUUGUAUAGCACUUUAAGCGAGGAGGAGGCUCUUUUGGUUAAUACCCAAGAUGAGUGGACGUUACUCGCAGAAUAAGCACCGGCUAACUCUGUGCCAGCCGCCGCGGUAA
rnacentral:rRNA from 1 species